GUGAGGAAUAUUGGUCAAUGGGCGGGAGCCUGAACCAGCCCAGUCGCGUGAAGGAAGAAGGAUCUAUGGUUCGUAAACUUCUUUUGCAGGGGAAUAAAGUGCAGGACGUGUCCUGUUUUGUAUGUACCCUGAGAAUAAGGAUCGGCUAACUCCGUGCCAGCAGCCGCGGUAAUACGGAGGAUCCGAGCGUUAUCCGGUUUUAUUGGGUUUAAAGGGUGCGUAGGUGGUUUGAUAAGUCAGCGGUGAAAGUUUGCAGCUUAACUGUAAAAAUGCCGUUGAAACUGUCGGACUUGAGUGUAAAUGAGGUAGGCGGAAUGCGUCGUGUAGCGGUGAAAUGCAUAGAUAUCACGCAGAACUCCGAUUGCGAAGGCAGCUUACUAAGCUACAACUGACACUGAAGCACGAAAGCGUGGGGAUCAAACAGGAUUAGAAACCCUUGUAGUCC
rnacentral:rRNA from 1 species